rnacentral:rRNA from 1 species
UACGUAGGGCGCAAGCGUUGUCCGGAAUUAUUGGGCGUAAAGAGCUUGUAGGCGGUUUGUCGCGUCUGCUGUGAAAAUCCGGGGCUCAACCCCGGACUUGCAGUGGGUACGGGCAGACUAGAGUGUGGUAGGGGAGACUGGAAUUCCUGGUGUAGCGGUGAAAUGCGCAGAUAAUCAGGAGGAACACCGGUGGCGAAGGCGGGUCUCUGGGCCGUAACUGACGCUGAGGAGCGAAAGCGUGGGGAGCGAACAGG